GGAAUAUUGCACAAUGGGCGAAAGCCUGAUGCAGCGACGCCGCGUGAGGGAUGACGGCCUUCGGGUUGUAAACCUCUUUCAGUAGGGAAGAAGCGAAAGUGACGGUACCUGCAGAAGAAGCGCCGGCUAACUACGUGCCAGCAGCCGCGGUAAUACGUAGGGCGCAAGCGUUAUCCGGAAUUAUUGGGCGUAAAGAGCUCGUAGGCGGUUUGUCGCGUCUAUCGUGAAAGUCCGAGGCUCAACCUCGGAUCUGCGGUGGGUACGGGCAGACUAGAGUGAUGUAGGGGAGACUGGAAUUCCUGGUGUAGCGGUGAAAUGCGCAGAUAUCAGGAGGAACACCGAUGGCGAAGGCAGGUCUCUGGGCAUUAACUGACGCUGAGGAGCGAAAGCAUGGGGAGCGAACAGGAUUAGAUACCCUUG
rnacentral:rRNA from 1 species